rnacentral:rRNA from 1 species
CCCAAGGGUUUGGCUGUUCGCCAAUUAAAGCGGUACGCGAGCUGGGUUCAGAACGUCGUGAGACAGUUCGGUCCCUAUCUGUCAUGGGCGUUGAAACUUGAAGGAAGCUGCUCCUAGUACGAGAGGACCGGAGCGGACGAACCUCUGGUGUGCCAGUUGUCCUGCCAAGGGCAUUGCUGGGUAGCUAACGUUCGGAAGGGAUAACCGCUGAAAGCAUAUAAGCGGGAAGCCCAUCCUAAGAUUAGGUUUCGUUUAGAUCCCAUAUAGAAGAUGUGGUUGAUAGGCUCUAGGUGGAAGCGUAGUAAUACGUGCAGCCGAGGAGUACUAAUAGAUCGACGACUUGAUUU